rnacentral:lncRNA from 1 species
UUGGCUACACAAAUAGUGUACUUCAAGGCUACACUUGUGCGCUUCAAAGCCACACUUGUAAUUAUGAAAUUAAACUUCAUUAUAUGCGUAAAAAAAGCCACACUUAGUGUUGCACUUUGUUGGAUUCUCGUAUCGAAUUAUUCGGAAAAGAGACUAGAAUCAUGUUUUUAGCGACAUGUUUUUUUUUAAGAACCAUUUUCAGUUUUACUGAAAUUUUAGUUAACUUUUAUUGCUGCAUGGUAAUUUUAAACACAUACAUAGUUAACUUUUUCAUAAAAAAAUAUUUGGUUUGUAAUAUUUUAGUAAUAUCGUAUUAAAUAUGUUAAGCGAGGAAAAUAUCGAUUUUCAGUUGUUAAAAAUUAGAAGAUGCAACUUUUCUUGCAUUUAAGGCGCUCCCUUUUCUUAUGAUAGCACCUCCACAGAAGUGCAAGAAGAGUCCAAGAAUUUGGGUAUAUUUUAUAGAGAAAUGGAUGUAAGUUUUUUCUAUGCAUUUUUUUUUAAAGUUAAAUUUGGUUUAUAAUCAAAAAGUAUUACUUUUUUGAGCUUUGAAUUUUCUGCAUUUUUAAAAUUUUACUUAAACAUUUAGGUACACCUCAGUCUUGAAAGCUCCCUUGAGUUAUUGAAGAGGGAGAAAGUUUUUCUUCAAUAUUUUAUUCAAGUGUUGCAGCACUCUAUUUAUAAUUCAAAUUAUAACUCUAAUUAUAAGUCGAUAAUACAGCUAUACGGUUGAAAGCCAUACCGAGUAUUAGAUUUGCUUUUGAGUUGCAGCUAGUCUCUUAUUAUGUAUUUAAUGUCAAUUUUCCUCAUGAACUUAUUUGUGUAUAUAGAUUUAUGGGAAAUUUGCUUGGAAUAAACAACAAAAGAAUUAUCGUCAAUUCCUUUUAAAGAAAGUAUUGCCAAAAGUUUAAGAUUAAAUUAAGCAAUAUGUUUGUGAAACGAAAAAGUAUUUUUAUCACUUUCUUGUUUAUUUUUGUUAUAUCGUCAGCCGAGAACCAAGAGACCGUAUGUCUUUUUUUUUGUGUUUCCAAGAAAAUCAAGUUUCAAAUUUUAAUUUGCAAAGUCUUUCUUCCAGAAAAUUCGACUGAUUAUUUAAAUAUUUCCUAAAAUUUUAUUGUUGUGGUAUAUUUAUGAAACACACACUCCUGAAUAUUUAUUGAUAAUGGACAAAAAAAAAAAAACACAAAAUGUUGAUAUACGAUUCUUCUCUGACGGUGGUAUCUAUUUUUCAAGGUUUUAACUCGCUUUUGCAUAUAAAUGUUUUAAGACUUGUUUUUAAUUUAAUAUUCACUGAAUUGAGUUUGAGUUUGAACUGAGUUUAUAUACUUAAAAGAAAUACUAUAACAAUGUAUUGACUCGGAAUUAAAAUAAAAUUUAUAUUUCAGUUUUUAUUAUUUUAUUGUGAUAUCGUUCCGUUAUUUCUUGUAAUCCAAUAUAAUAUACAUGUGUAAUUUAGUAUGACUCUAAAUGACAAUGUGUAAUUUAUUAUAUGAUAUAAAUAGCAUUCUUUA